GGGGCCGCCCGGUUUUGACAGGAUGUGUGAUAACGUAUGCAAGCAUGCAGGCUCAUGGAAUGAGAGCCUCAAAAGAUAUUUCCAAACCAUACUUGGCGAGUCUAACUACGCCAUGGCUGCAUAAUCUAGCAAACCGCUAGGUUACGCCUCGUCCCGAUAAGAUCGGGAAAGCCAUCAUCGCUCAGCGCUGUCGUUUUGCAGGCGCUGGUUAGCGGUGUCGUCAUGCAGAACUGCUCCGUGUGAUGUUGCUAAGCACGGUUAAGACCAGUAACUACGGAGAAGUUUAGGCUGUUGCCUGCCUUGCUGUUCCCGACAACCUAAAGUCAACUAAGCAUGUAGAAAGUACGGUGUUAUCUUCUCUGGACGAGAGUUCGAAUCUCUCCGGCUCCACCU
rnacentral:tmRNA from 1 species